AAAUUGAAGAGUUUGAUCAUGGCUCAGAUUGAACGCUGGCGGCAGGCCUAACACAUGCAAGUCGAACGGUAACAGGAAGCAGCUUGCUGCUUCGCUGACGAGUGGCGGACGGGUGAGUAAUGUCUGGGAAACUGCCUGAUGGAGGGGGAUAACUACUGGAAACGGUAGCUAAUACCGCAUAACGUCGCAAGACCAAAGAGGGGGACCUUCGGGCCUCUUGCCAUCGGAUGUGCCCAGAUGGGAUUAGCUAGUAGGUGGGGUAACGGCUCACCUAGGCGACGAUCCC
rnacentral:rRNA from 1 species